rnacentral:rRNA from 1 species
AGUGAACGCUGGCGGUAGGCCUAACACAUGCAAGUCGAACGGCAGCACAGGAGAGCUUGCUCUCUGGGUGGCGAGUGGCGGACGGGUGAGGAAUACAUCGGAAUCUACUCUGUCGUGGGGGAUAACGUAGGGAAACUUACGCUAAUACCGCAUACGACCUACGGGUGAAAGCAGGGGACCUUCGGGCCUCGCGCGAUUGAAUGAGCCGAUGUCGGAUUAGCUAGUUGGCGGGGUGAAGGCCCACCAAGGCGACGAUCCGUAGCUGGUCUGAGAGGAUGAUCAGCCACACUGGAACUGAGACACGAUCCAGACUCCUACGGGAGGCAGCAGUGGGGAAUAUUGGACAAUGGGCGCAAGCCUGAUCCAGCCAUACCGCGUGGGUGAAGAAGGCCUUCGGGUUGUAAAGCCCUUUUGUUGGGAAAGAAAUCCAGCUGGCUAAUACCCGGUUGGGAUGACGGUACCCAAAGAAUAAGCACUGGCUAACUACGUGCCAGCCGCCGCGGUAA